ensembl:lncRNA
CAACAUUCUUUCUCUUCCUAGAAGCUGAAGAUUUAAAGAUUUUCCCAUCAGAAAUAUUUAUUCAAGGAUUUAUGGAUCCUGAAAAAGUUGGCUUACACUACAUUAUUCCUCUAACUUUUGGAAAUAUUAUUUUUGAAAAACUACUUUUUAAAGUACAAAAAUAGGGAGCAAUUCUUCAUGAAGUUCAGGAGAUCACAUUAAAUGAUGCUAAACUUCCUACCCCGGUGCUUGACUGUGCUGAAAACCUAUCCAGUCCUCACUAAGUUCUUCAUCUAGUCACUGAGCAUGAGUCAGUCACUGUGUAGUGGAGGAAGGCUCAUCAGAAGCAGAGCUCUCUUCAGAUCUUCCAAAGCAAUGGGCAAUGAGUGUACCAAAGGACAUAAAUGACCAUGGCCCAGAAGGGGACCUGGACAGGCACUAGACAAAUGGAUGAUAUUUCUGAAAAUAUCUCUGGAUACCAUAAUUAAGAUCCAUUCACGAUAGACUCCAUCACCUAACCUACAGUUAAGGUGUAUAUUGGAAGCAAACAAAUGGUUUUACAUUACUAAAGAUUAAAACAAAUUCUGUUUAACACACCUGCCCUUCACCAAACAGUGAUAUACUUGCAGACACACUGCAGCUUUUGCCUCUGUUAGCAUCUUCCUCUCAAAGGUGGAUAAUUAUUACUGGCUCCCUCAGAAGAGGAAUGGUACAACAACAGAAUAAUAAAGCAAUAUAUAAACUCUUAACAAAAGAAGGCAAUCUGUUUAUACAGUUUGCAUCAGCUAGAGAUGGCAAGCUAAAUAUUUAGGAAGCUGGUUAAUUUUCUCAGUGGAAAGUUCAACAUCCAACUGCAUCAUGGCAAGCCCCACUAUUCAAUACAAGCUGGAGGAUGAAAGGAUUGAGCACAGCCCUGACAAAAAAGACUUGGAGGUACUGGUGGAUGGCAAACUGGACAUGAGUCAGCAGUGUGCUCUCACAGUCCAGAAAGUCAACCAUAUCCUGGACUGCGACAAAAGAAAUGUGGCUAGCAGGUCAAGGGAGGUGAUUCUGCCCCUCUACUCUGUGUUCGUGAGGCUUCACCUGGAGUACUGAGUCCAGAUAAGGAGUCCUCAGUAUAGGAGAGACAUGGACCUGUCAGAGCGUGUCCAGAAGAGGUCCACAAAAAUGAUCCAAGGGAUGGAACACUUCCCCUGUGAGGACCAGUUCAAUCUAGAGAAGAGAAGGCUGUGAGGUGACUUGAUAACAGCCUUUAAGUAUCUGAAGGGGAUAGGAAAGAAGGGGACAGACACUUUAGUAGGGUCUGUGGUGACAGGACAAUAGGAAAUGGUUUCAAACUAAAAAGGGGAAGAUUUAGAUUGGAUACAAGGAAAAAUAUUUUUAUAAUAAGAGUGGUGAGGCACUUGAACUAGUUGCCCAGAGACAUGAUGGAUAACCCUUCCCUGGAGACAUUCAAGGUCAGGCUGAAUCAGGCUCUGAGCAACCUGAUCUAGCUGUAAGUGCCUCUGUUCAUUGCAGGGGAGUUGGACUAGAUGAUCUUUAACCUUUAGAUGUCCCUUCCAACUCAAGUGAUUCUAUGGUUCAAUGUACUGCAAUUUAUCUCCCUUGGGACCACAGAACAAACCCAUUUAUCCACUUAAGGUGAUUAGACGAUGUAAUUAAACUUAGAGAUUUAUAACUUCCCUUCUUGGAAAGCAGAUUAAAACUGGAAGCAUAUCUCUCUGAUGAUUAAAAAAUCUAGCCUGAAAUAUAAAAACUAGGCAUCUGUUAAAUGUGAUGGUUUCAUAGCAAAAAUAAAAGAUGCCUAUAUGUUGUCAUAUUCCACUGUAUUUUAACAAGAUGAAAUGUAAAAAUAUUGACCAAUUUUCACAAUAAAAGAAACAUUUUAAAAAUAGCUUUGGC